rnacentral:lncRNA from 1 species
GGCGGGGCCGGGCGCGGGCGGAGCGGGGGCGGGUUGGAGGGGCGGAAGGGCAGCGCCCUGGACAGGGCAGGGCGGGAUCAGGACGUGUGGACCUGACCGGGUGGCCUGAGGGCAGAGCGAGGGGGGAAGACCGGGGCGGGGCGGGGACAGGCCUGGGAGGGGGGGAGUGGGCAGCCGACUGGGGGCGGGCCAGAGCCGGGGAAGGGGCCGGUCACCCUUGGCCAGAAAAAGGGCAGUGACCGCGGGGCACACCGGGCGGGGGCUGGGCCUGCAGGUGGCGGCUGGGGCGGGGGCUGGGGCGGGAGGUGGGGGUCGCGUCCCAUCCCUGUGCACCCUCCGGGAUUCUACCCCGGGGAACUGGACGCAGCAGGUCUCGGGAGUCUCAGCUGCUCUGGAGCGAGUGGCAGGGAGUGGCGGAGUCGCUGGGACAGCACCCAGGACUGAUAAAACUUCAGGAUUUGAAUGCAGGGGUGGGCCCCAGAAGAAGAGACAGACUCCGCAAAGUGUUUGUUUUCCUCCCCAAGGAGCAAACCAGCAUUUUGGAGCCUUUAGCUCACAGCGUUUAGAAUGGACUUGGAGACGCCCAGGUAUACCCUGGGGGACCUAGUGAAAAGCGGUAUUAUUGUGGGUUUUAUCUUAAAGAAGGAAGUUCGCCCUGCCUUGCUUUCUGUUUAUAGAGUUGAGGAACUUCUGCCUUCCCUUAUUUGUAACCCCUGGAAGGGAUCUGGCCACUCCUUAGGUGCAGUGGUGUGCGUGCUGGGCCGACGCGGCCUCGAGAGGGCAAGCUUCGCAAAUUCAACUCCGCUGGACGGCGACCGCGAAUGUCCUGCAGCUCACGACCGGUCGACCAGCGAGGCCCUGCAGCCCAGACUGCAGGCUCUGCACAGGGGCCCAGUGGGUGUGGCUUUGGCACCCUGAAUGAGUCAGGAGGAAGUCCAGGGGCUGCAGGUUUUCUGCAUACUGUUCAUGUGUGUCAGUGGCUGUGUCAGCCUGGGCUCUCCAGAGCAAGAAAACCGACAAGAGGUGUGUGCAUGUGUGUAAACAUGAAGAGAUUUGUUAUAGGGCUUGGCUCACAUCACCAUGGGGAUUGGCAAGUCCAACUCCACGGGGCAGGCCACAAGUUGGAGACUCGAUGCAGGUGACAGUGAAUUCCCCAGAAGAAGCUGGAUGCCUGGAGCAGAGAUGGGAAUUUUUCUUUCCAGAGGCUGAAAUCCUCGGUUCGCCCUCGAAGACCUCCAUCUGCUGGGACAAGACGUGGCCCUGCCGAAGGCUAGCUCCUUCCCUGAGGACGUCACCUGCCUUACUGCCAUCGACUACUGAUGACCUAAGUCCACGGAAUGCCCUCACAGUGACCAAGCCAACCGGCACAGGUGGGGCACAGGUAAAUGCCCACCCCUUGCCUCUUUGAUAACAGAACACACCUCCACACUGAACCAAGAUGCUCGGAGCAGCCACUGGCUGCCUUAGUUGCCAGGGCUGCUGUAACAAGCACCACUGACUAGUCAGCUGAAGCAGCAGAAGUGAACUGCCCCGUGGUUCGAGGCCAGGAGCCUGUCUCGCGGUGUGACGCGUAGCAGAGCCGUGCUUCCUUCUGGAAGAUUCUCCUCUGGCUCGCGGUGGGAGCGGGCAGUCCGGAUGCUCCUCGGCUCUGGCGGCACAGCGGGGUCUCUGCCUUGCCCCACGCUGCCUUUCACUGUCUGUGUCUGUUUCUCUUGCUCUGAUGAAAUUUCUUCUGCUUACGGAAGUCCAGUUGUGCUGGUCUAGUGCCCACCUUCAUCCUAUUCGGCCUCAUCUUAACCAAUACUGUUUUCAAAGGCUCUGCUUGAAAAUAAGGUCACACUUGCAGGACGAGAGGUUAAAUCCACGGCAAGGUCCAUCUGUUCCGUUCCUUUCUUCCAGCAGCGAUGCGCUGACCUGUUAGUUGAGGGCCUUUCCUUUUCCAGGAAUGGUUCCAGUUGAGCAUAAAUGCUAAACCCAACCCCACGGUGUUCUUGCGCUCUUGGGCUGCAGGUGUCAGGUGGGGCCGUUACACUUCAGUGACAAACAAGCCCCAAACGGCGCUGGUGCAACCUGGCAAGGGGAUCCUCUGUGCAAGCAGAUGGAUAAGGGUCCACAGCAGCCACGCAAUGCUGGGGAUCCACCCAGGGCAGCCAUCAGCCACGCGAAGCAGGGCGUCCACCCAGGUCGCUUCUCAGAGGGGCAUCCACCUUAUCUGCACCCGAGGACAUUGGCAUAGUCACGAGAGGACUGGAGCAUCUGCAUCAGCAGGUGAAUGCCUUGCCUGAGUAGCAUGUGACCCGUAUUCACACAUCACCUGUGUCCACAGUCACCUGUUUUCACAUAUCACCUGUUUUCACACAUCACCUGUAUUCAGUUGUCACCUGUUUUCACACAUCACCUGUAUUCACACUCCUGUAGGCCUGGGGGAUAGGGACAUAUAAGCCCCUGUGCACCUGGGAGGAGAGGAAACCAGAUGUAGGGCAUUGGAUGGGACUACUGUCCCUGGAGGGCUUAGACGGACGUGUGCAAGUACACGUACUUCAUGGACAACUGGGCUCUCCCCAGUGGCUUCACGGCCCUUACAGACAACAGGACGGCUCUGAGACAGGUGCGGGUGGCGAAGGUUAGGGAACGCGAGCUCCCCGCCGGAUGUGUUUCAGCGUGAACCUGGCUCCCCCACUGCACCGCUAUUGGCAUUUGGGCCUGAUGACCCUUCAUCGUAGGGGAUGUUCUCUGCACUGUAGGAGCCGAGCAGUGGCCGUGGCCGCUCCCGCAGAUGCUGGGAGCAUCCCACCCUAGUUGUGAAAGUCCAAGGUGCCAAGUGUCCUUGGGGCAAAAUCUGCCCCCCCCACCACAAGGAGUGCCACUGGCUUGAACUAUUCACCAUGUCAUUUUCAACCCAACUAGACUUGCACAGGAUUAUGUGCAUUCACAAAUGCUUCAUCAUAUUCAGCACUUUACACAACCCUGUCUCAAUAAUAAAGUGGGCGGAUGGAAGAGGCAAUGCUAUAUUUAAUGUGAGGAAAUGAGCUCAAAGAGGCUGAGGUCACGGCCACCUCGGCAGGUGAGCCAAGGCAGAAGCCCACCCAGGUCCCCCUUCAGAGUCACUAGCCACUUGCCGAGGGUCUGCAGGAGCCUCGUGAAGAGAAACUGCUCCAGGUACUGGCCGGGGGUUGACUGGACCUUCAUGGACCAGUGCUGCUGAGCUGUGGAAGACACUGUGAUAAAAGAUUUGGUGCUUGCUCUCAAGAGACUCACAGCAUGGUGACUAAAGAGACAAAUUUAGAAAAAGUUCCAUCCUAGAUAAUUAAUCAGCACUCUGAUAGAAGGCUUACCAUACUUCAGAGGGAGGUAUUUCCCACAUAUCUUCCAGAAAAGCAACAGAAACUCCAGGAUAAAAAGGAGGAAAAAUGGGAAGCCAUGCAAUGAAGAAGAUGCUGGAUUUUAUUUCUGCAUCACCAUGUAAAAACUGCAGUAAAAUACCAAGAACUAUAGGGUAGAGCAAGAAGGAAGAGAAGAAUGAGAUUUGAGCUGUGAGUGAGCAGAUCCUGAAAAUGGCCCUUAGCCUGAACCUGCAGAGACCUGCAUGGGCUGCGUGUUUGCAAGACACAGGCCACCCCUCACCUAAUGGGUGACAGCGACUGCACCCAAUGAAAAGGGGAAAUUCCACUUCAUAAAGUCAUUUACAAUGAAAACAUAAGCUAAACGCUCUGUCCCUAAAGCAUAAAAAGCAACAAAUGAGUAUGAACAGGUCUUGCGGAAGCAUCUUUCAUAUCUACAUCUGUAUCUGUAGAGGUGAAGGUAUGUGUAUGAUGAGCAAUGGGAUGGUGUAGUAGUCAGGGUUCUCUAGGGAAACGGAAUCCACAGGAGAUACCUGUCAGUAGUAAGCAAUUUCAUCAGAGUCACUCACGUGACCGUGGGAUGCACAAGUCCAGGUUCCGCAGGCAGCUGCAGCCAGGGCUCCAGUGAAAGUCCAGCGAAGGCUUGAUGAGUUCUGGGAAAUGCGGCUGUCCAAAGACAAGCCGGGAAUUUCUCACUCUAAGCUGGAAUCAUUUCCAUUUUAAGGCAGUCAACUGAUUGGAUAAAGCAUCACUCACUACUGAUGGCAAUCUCCCUAAUUGAUGUAAUUAUAACCAGCUGUCUAUGAUUUACCACCGCAGUAAAGUCAAUGGUGACUAAAGUCCAUAAAUGCCCUGUAUUACAGUUAGCCCAGGGCUUGCUUGACCACACAACUGUCACAAUUACUUGGCCGAGCUGACACAGUAGCCUAGCCAUCACCUGUCUUUGUUCAGCGCCUGCUUCCACACUCAACGCGCAGCCCAUUUGUGUACCUUUUGAACCGUCGUCACUUGGAAC